rnacentral:rRNA from 1 species
GAAUAGAUUUUAUUAUUAUUUUUGAAUGUUUAAAAAAUUUAAUUAAAAUAAUAAGGUUUUUAUUAAUUGAAAAGAAAAAUUCAUAUUAAUUAUAGAUUAUUAGUACUGUGAAGGAAGUAUAUUAUAUAAUAAAAAGAAAAAAAAUUUUGUACCUUGUGUAUCAGGGUUUAUUAAAAAAUAUAUAUAUAUAUAUAUAUAUAUAUAUAUAUCUCGAAUUUAAAAGGGCUAAAUUAAUAUUUAUAUUAUUGUAUUAUAAAUAUUUAUAAUAUUAAUUUAGUAAUGAAAUGUUAUUCGUUUUUAAAUAUAUCUAGUUUUUUAAGAAAAAAAUUUAAUUUUAAAGUUAAAUUUUAAGUUAUUUUUUUUUAAUAAUUUAAAUUUAAUAUUAAAUAAAUUAAGGGAUAAGCUUUAAUUUAAACUUUUAUAAUUAAUUAAAAAUUAAUAAUUUAUAGAAUUGAAAAUUUUUUUUAUUUAAAGUUUGUAAAAAUUUGUUAUUUAUAAAUUUAAUAUUUUUAUUUAAUUUAAUUUUUUUAUUAAAAUAAAUAAUAUAAUAUUAGAAUUGUUUUAAUGAUGAUAAAAUUAGUAUUAUAUAUGUAUAUAUAUAUAUAUAUAUAUAUAUAUAUAGAAAGGUAAAAUAAAAGAAUUCGGCAAAUAUAUUUUUCACCUGUUUAUUAAAAACAUCUCUUUUUGAUUUUAAUUUAAAGUAGGGCCUGCCCACUGAAUUUUUAAAGGGCCGCAGUAUUUUGACUGUGCAAAGGUAGCAUAAUCAUUAGUUUUUUAAUUGAAAGCUUGUAUGAAUGGUUUGAUGAGAAAAUAGCUUUUUUUAUUUUAAUUUUUAAGAAUUUUAUUUUUAAGUUAAAAAGCUUAAAUUUUUAUAAUAGACGAGAAGACCCUAUAGAGUUUAAUUAUUAAUUAUUUUUAUAUUUUUAGAAUUUUAAUUUAUAAAUUUGAUUUAAUAAUUUAAUUGGGGUGAUUGAAAAAUUAAAUAAACUUUUUUUUUAUUUUUACAUUGAUGUAUGAUUUUAUGAUCCAUAAAAAUGAUUAAAAGAUUAAAUUACCUUAGGGAUAACAGCGUUAUUUUUUUUUAGAGUUCAAAUCGAAAAAAGAGAUUGCGACCUCGAUGUUGGAUUAAAGUUUAUAUUAGGAGGAGAAUUUUAAUUAUUUGGUCUGUUCGACCAUUAAAACUUUACAUGAUCUGAGUUUAAACCGGUGUGAGCCAGGUUGGUUUCUAUCUUUAUAUAAUUACUAAUUUUUAGUACGAAAGGACCAAGAUUAGGAUUAUUAAUUUUUUAAAUGAAUAAGAUUAUUAUUUUGGCAGAUUAGUGCGUUAGAUUUAGAAUCUUUUUAUGUAUAAAAUACAAA